UCCUGUUUCUCAAGGUGGCAGGAUCUCAGGGAGAGGAAGGAAAUCAUUCCUUCCCCAUCUCCCAUCUGUGAGAGAAGAAAUCAUCUACAAACCUAUUUCUCCUUUAAUUCUCAGUGAAUGGAUAGGAGCAAGCCCCCACUGGAUAUGCUGAGGGGCCUGCUCUGCAGAAGAAUCAUUUCAGUUUCUCUUUCAUCCUGGCACACGGACAUCAGCGCAUUCAGAAGAGGAAACAGAGAUCCAUAAAGACGAGGGACUUGUCAGUGGCGUCUAAUACAGGACUGGAGCCUCAGUCUACUGCCUUCUAUUCCGUUCAUCUCCUCCCAGUGCCCAGCAGACAUUUAAAAGCUGCUCUUCCACAAACGCUUCAAUUAACAAAAUGGAGCGACAGGGACAACACUGCAGUUGCUACUGUGGCUGACCACAGGCCUGACUGGAUAACUGUGGAGAGAAGCUCCAAUCCCCCUUAGAUGGUAAACAGCUAGACGGCUGCAGAGUGGUGCUGGGUCAGCGGGCAUGCAAACGUUGAUCUCCUGGUACAUCUGCAUCAGAGCCCUGAGGUGACCGGGUACAUUGUCAAUGAGCAGUCAUAUUUUGAAAGGAAUUUUUUUCUGAGCUGUAUGUCCAAUGGUGGGCUUAAAAUUGUCAGUAAACCAUGUUAUAAACAGAUGUGCUGUGAUCCAGGCUUUAUUGUUCCAUUUAUAAAACAUAGGCAGCGUAGAUUUAUCAUGAUUCUUCAGGCUCCUAGGAUUUUUGGAAUGGUAGGUGAACUAAUUCCAAUACUGUUGUGUCUUGGUGAAUAGGAAGGCCUGAGGAGAGGGACAGAGACAGGGGAACGGCCAGUGGGCAGAGCAGCCAGAACUCAUACAUUUGUCAGUUAAGUUCACAUUCUAAGGUGGGCAUGUUUUGUGGUACCCCGAAACAAUGAUAAUAGCAACAUCAAAGAUCACUGAUCACUGAUCACAGUGACAAAUAUAAAAAUAAUGAAGUUUGAACUACUGUGAGAAUUGCCAAAAUAUGACACAGACACAAAGUAAGAAAAUGCCAUUGGAAAAAGUGGUGCCCACCGACUUACUUGAUGCAGGGUUACCACAGACCUUCAACCUGUAAAAAUUGCAAUAGCUGAGAAGUGCGAUAAAGUGAAGCACAAUAAAAUGGGAAAGCCUUUAAUUAGAAAAUGAAAGCAUUCUGAAGAUAUUUGUACCCUGAGCUAGGGAAGCAGGUCAUACCAGUGAGAUGUACUUCAGGGAAGUAGCUGGAGAGAAAAGAACGUAAAAAUUGUAGGAAAAUAACCUUUCCAACAAGAAAAACAUGAGAAUUCUCUGUUCAUAUUAGAGAAGCAGUUUUCUCUGAUAUGUCAGAGUGUCUCCAAUUAGUUCAGAUUAUGACAUAAGUGUCUAAAGAAAAUGAAUCUCAUAGCAUUUUAUUCUUAAUAGCUCAGAGAGCUCUGUUAGGAAGUGAGAAUGCUAUGAAAUGAAGCAAAUCAGAAGAAAGUUGUUGUAAUUCAAAACAGGUUGAAAAUCAUCACCCUGAAGGGAGAAAAUUAAAUGCCUUUUAUCUCCAAAAUAAAAAUAGGCUACACAACCAAUAUAUCUGAGUCAAUAAGGGUUGCUCCCCAUUUACUAUUAAAACAAAGGUUCGGAUUUGCUGGACUUCAAGUUAUAUUUCAGGAGGAGAUGUAUAUAAUUCAGCAAAUUAGAAAACAUAAAUCAAAUGUUGAAGAACAUGGUUUCAUAAAAUUUAUGAUUCAAAGGUAAUUCUUCAAGUUGGGCCUUGUGUUAGUGAUGAGUUUUCCCUUGUGAUUUUUCUUUCAUGGAGAACAAAUCAGCUACAAUCAAAAAUAUUAUAAAAUUCCAAGAACUGAGUAAGAAUCACACAUUCAUCUAAAGCUGAAAUUGGUUCAGGCGUGAAAAACAUAUUUUAACUAUUUGUUGUCCUAAUAGAGUACCAUUGCAGUUUUCCUCCAAGGAGGAUACAGCAUAAUAGUUUCAUCUCAGGUUCUAUAAUUUUGCCAUAAUUAUUUUCGUGUCCUAAUCUCCCAAAGAGGCCUCAAAUCCAUCAUGAUGAAUGGCAUUAUCCUUGAAGGCAUCAAAUGCCUUUGCUUUUUUUUUAAAUAUACCUGUAAAAUUAUAUGCCUCAGAACCCCAUCCAAAACACAAUGACCUAUUUUAUUUGUUCAUUCGUUCAUCUAUUUAUUCAUUUAUUUAAAGAUAUGACUGCUACAGUUACUAUUGCUGUGUAACAAAUGACCCCAAAAUGCACUGGCUUAGAACAAUUAUUUCAUUAUGUACAUGGAUUCUGUUAGCCAAGAAUUUGAACAGAGAACAACUAGUUGACUAAUCUGUACUCCACAAAAUCUGGGGCCUCAGCUGAGAAAACACCAAGUCCCUUGUUUUUGUGAAAUUAUGUUUUUCACAAUUUCACAGCCUUCAAUGUCUAGGGUCUGGAAUCAUCCAAAAGCUUGUCCACACCCAUGUCCGGAGCCCUGGCCAGGAAUGACUCAGAGACUGCCAAACAGAGUACACACAUGACCCUUCAAUGUACCUGGCUCCCUCACAGUAUGGUGGCCUCAGAGUCACCAAACUUCAUCUAUAGUGGCUCAAGACUCUAAACACAAAAACUCUAGCAAACAGCACAGAAACCAAAACAACAGAGAAAACAAAAGUCAUCUUUUGUUACUCAGGAAGUCAGCCAGCAAGUCCACGUCACUUCCACCGCACUCUAUUGUCAACGCGGUUGUGAGUCCACUCAGAUACAAGGGGAAAGAAAAUAGGCCCCACUUCUUGACGGGAGAAGAUGCAAAGGAUUUGGAGGUUUUUUUUUUUCAACCACCACAGGGACAUAGCAAGAAAGUGCACAGAAUUUUUAUUAGGAAUAAAAAAAAAGGAUAUAGAUACAGACAUAUCAAGUUUAAAAAUAAUAAGGAAUAUUGUGAAAAACCUUAUACCAAUCAAUUUCAAAACAAAGAAAAAGCAAAAUUUCAUAAAAGUAUAUGAUAUAUUAAAACUAAAAGAAGAAAUGUAAAACCUGAAUAGAUCAAUAAGCAUUCAAAAAAUUCGAAUCAGUGGUUCAAAAUUUAAGCUACAAUCGUCCCCCCCAACACACAUUCUCCAGAAAAGAUUUACAGCUAGCCAACAAGCUCAAUGAAUUAUAGUGUUCAACAUCACUACUUACAGGGAGACGCAAAACUAAAACCCCAGUAAGAUACCACUUCCUAUCUACUAGGAUGAUUAUCAUCCAAAAAUGGGAAAUAACAAAUAUUGGUGAAGUUAUGAGGAAAUUCGAAUCCUUCUACAUGACUGAUGGAAUGUAAAAUGAUUCAGCCACUGUGAAAAACAGUUGGCAAUUCUUCAAAAAGGUAAAUAUAGAAUUACCGUAUAACUCAACAAUUCCACUCCUAAGUAUGCACCUCAGAGAGCUGAAAACAGAUUCUGUAACAUCCUUCUAUACUGACAGACAGCAACUGUACUAGUGGGGGUGAGGAUUUAAUAAUAUGGGAAACUAUUGAACCACUGUGUUGUAUACUUGAAACUAAAAUAAGACUGUAUAUCAAUAAAAAAAUCAACCUGUCACAUCAAGAAAUCUGUGGGGCUUCAGAAAGCAAUGUUAUAAAGAGAAAAUACCAAGGCCUGGGGAGAAGGAGAAUGGGAAGUGAUUGCUAAUGGGCAUGGGAUUUCUUUUUGGAAUGAUGAAAAUGUUCUAGAAUUAGACAGCCAUGAUGGAUGCCUAACUACGUGAAUAUAUUAAAAAUCACUGAACUGAUAGCAUUGAAAGGGCAAACUUUAUGGUAUAUAAUUGGCUCAAUAAAGCUGUUAUUUACAAAAAAAAAGAGUUGAAAACAGGAACUUGAACAGAUACUUCUAUGUGACUGCUCAUUGCAGCAUAAUCUCGCUAUCCAAAAGGUAGAAAUAAGUGUUCAUCAGCAGAUGGAUGGGUAAGAAAAAUGUGAUAUAUCCAUACAAUGGAAUAUUAUUCAGCCUUAAGAAGAGAUAAAUACAGACACAUGCUACAAUAUGGAUGAACCUUGAAAACAUUAUGCUAACUGAAUUAAGCCAAAUACAAAAGAGCAAAUACUGUGUGAUUCCACCUACAAGAAAUAACUAGAAUAGGCAAGCUCACACAGGCAGAAAGCAGAUUGGUGGCUACCAGGCACUGCACUGUCUUUCCACAAUGUAGCGUUUUGUUUAAUGGCACAGACUUUCUAUUGGGGUAGUGGAAAGUUUUGGAAAUACAUAGUGGUGAUGGUUGCACAGCACUGUGAAUGUAACUAAUGCCACUGAAUUGUACACUUAAAAAUGAUUUAAAUAUAUAUUUGAAAGUUGCUAAGAGAGUAG